rnacentral:rRNA from 1 species
UGGGGAAUAUUGGACAAUGGGGGCAACCCUGAUCCAGCAAUGCCGCGUGUGUGAAGAAGGUCUUCGGAUUGUAAAGCACUUUCGACGGGGACGAUGAUGACGGUACCCGUAGAAGAAGCCCCGGCUAACUUCGUGCCAGCAGCCGCGGUAAUACGAAGGGGGCUAGCGUUGCUCGGAAUGACUGGGCGUAAAGGGCGUGUAGGCGGUUUACACAGUCAGAUGUGAAAUCCCCGGGCUUAACCUGGGAGCUGCAUUUGAUACGUGUAGACUAGAGUGUGAGAGAGGGUUGUGGAAUUCCCAGUGUAGAGGUGAAAUUCGUAGAUAUUGGGAAGAACACCGGUGGCGAAGGCGGCAACCUGGCUCAUGACUGACGCUGAGGCGCGAAAGCGUGGGGAGCAAACAGGAUUAGAUACCCUGGUAGUCCACGCUGUAAACGAUGUGUGCUAGAUGUUGGGUAACUUUGUUAUUCAGUGUCGCAGUUAACGCGUUAAAGC